rnacentral:piRNA from 1 species
UCCAGGGUUUCGGUUCCUACUAUGAACCUAGA